rnacentral:rRNA from 1 species
UACGAAGGGUGCAAGCGUUACUCGGAAUUACUGGGCGUAAAGCGUGAGUAGGUGGUUUCUUAAGUCUGCUGUGAAAGCCCCGGGCUCAACCUGGGAAUUGCAGUGGAUACUGGGAAGCUAGAGUGCGGUAGAGGGUAGUGGAAUUCCCGGUGUAGCGGUGAAAUGCGUAGAGAUCGGGAGGAACACCAGUGGCGAAGGCGGCGAUCUGGGAAGAUACUGACGCUGAGGUGCGAAAGCGUGGGGAGCAAACAGG